GUGGGGAAUAUUGCACAAUGGGGGAAACCCUGAUGCAGCAACGCCGCGUGAGUGAUGACGGUCUUCGGAUUGUAAAACUCUGUCUUCAGGGACGAUAAUGACGGUACCUGAGGAGGAAGCCACGGCUAACUACGUGCCAGCAGCCGCGGUAAUACGUAGGUGGCAAGCGUUGUCCGGAUUUACUGGGCGUAAAGGGAGCGUAGGUGGAUAUUUAAGUGGGAUGUGAAAUACUCGGGCUUAACCUGGGUGCUGCAUUCCAAACUGGAUAUCUAGAGUGCAGGAGAGGAAAGUAGAAUUCCUAGUGUAGCGGUGAAAUGCGUAGAGAUUAGGAAGAAUACCAGUGGCGAAGGCGACUUUCUGGACUGUAACUGACACUGAGGCUCGAAAGCGUGGGGAGCAAACAGGAUUAGAUACCCGUGUAGUCC
rnacentral:rRNA from 1 species